CCUCAGUAACGGCGAGUGAAGCGGCAACAGCUCAAAUUUGAAAUCUGGCCGUUCGGCGGUCCGAGUUGUAAUUUGUAGAGGAUGCUUCGGGUGCGGCGCCGGUCUAAGUUCCUUGGAACAGGACGUCAGAGAGGGUGAGAAUCCCGUAUGUGACCGGUGACCCAGCCCGUGUGAAGCUCCUUCGACGAGUCGAGUUGUUUGGGAAUGCAGCUCUAAAUGGGUGGUAAAUUUCAUCUAAAGCUAAAUACCGGCCAGAGACCGAUAGCGCACAAGUAGAGUGAUCGAAAGAUGAAAAGCACUUUGGAAAGAGAGUUAAAAAGUACGUGAAAUUGUUGAAAGGGAAGCGCUUGUGACCAGACUUGCUCGCGGGCGAUCAGCCGUCCUUCUGGGCGGUGCACUCGCCCGUGAUCAGGCCAGCAUCGGUUCGGGCGGCCGGAUAACGGCCCCGGGAAUGUGGCUCCCCUCGGGGAGUGUUAUAGCCCGGGGCGCAAUGCGGCCCGCCGGGACCGAGGACCGCGCUUCGGCUAGGAUGCUGGCGUAAUGGUCGUAAGCGACCCGUCUUGAAACACGGACCAAGGAGUCUAACAUCUGUGCGAGUGUUUGGGUGUCAAACCCAUGCGCGGAAUGAAAGUGAACGGAGGUGGGAACCCUUCAGGGUGCACCAUCGACCGAUCCUGAUGUCUUCGGAUGGAUUUGAGUAAGAGCAUAGCUGUUGGGACCCGAAAGAUGGUGAACUAUGCCUGAAUAGGGUGAAGCCAGAGGAAACUCUGGUGGAGGCUCGCAGCGGUUCUGACGUGCAAAUCGAUCGUCAAAUUUGGGUAUAGGGGCGAAAGACUAAUCGAACCAUCUAGUAGCUGGUUCCUGCCGAAGUUUCCCUCAGGAUAGCAGU
rnacentral:rRNA from 1 species